rnacentral:misc_RNA from 1 species
AAGUCGUAACAAGGUUUCCGUAGGUGAACCUGCGGAAGGAUCAUUAACAAAUCAGGAGCUUGCUCCACAGAGUUCUCUCAGAUAGACUUUGGUCUUGAUGAGGUCCUCUAUAUCAACCUGUUGUAUUGUUUGACAAAAUUUGGUGCCAAAUAUAAAACAACUUUUAACAAUGGAUCUCUUGGCUCUU